UACAGAGGGGGCAAGCGUUGUUCGGAAUUACUGGGCGUAAAGGGCGCGUAGGCGGCCUGUUAAGUCGAACGUGAAAUCCCCGGGCUCAACCCGGGAACUGCGUCCGAUACUGGCAGGCUUGAAUUCGGGAGAGGGAUGCGGAAUUCCAGGUGUAGCGGUGAAAUGCGCAGAUAUCAGGAGGAACACCGGUGGCGAAGGCGGGACUCUGGGCCGAUACUGACGCUGAGGAGCGAAAGCGUGGGGAGCGAACAGG
rnacentral:rRNA from 1 species